GUUUAAGUAGCUUAAUACCUUAAAGCACCAGUUUUGUAAACUGGAGACAGAGAUCAGACCCUCCCCUAAACU
rnacentral:tRNA from 1 species